rnacentral:rRNA from 1 species
GUAGGUGGCAAGCGUUGUCCGGAAUUAUUGGGCGUAAAGCGCGCGCAGGCGGUUCUUUAAGGCUGAUGUGAAAGCCCACGGGCUCAACCGUGGAGGGUCAUUGGAAACUGGAGAACUUGAGUACAGAAGAGGAAAGCGGAAUUCCACGUGUAGCGGUGAAAUGCGUAGAGAUGUGGAGGAACACCAGUGGCGAAGGCGGCUUUCUGGUCUGUAACUGACGCUGAGGCGCGAAAGCGUGGGGAGCAAACAGGAUUAGAUACCCUGGUAGUCCACGCCGUAAACGAUGAGUGCUAAGUGUUAGGGGGUUUCCGCCCCUUAGUGCUGCAGCUAACGCAUUAAGCACUCCGCCUGGGGAGUACGGCCGCAAAGGCUG